rnacentral:rRNA from 1 species
UACGGAAGGCAGCAGUGGGGAAUAUUGCACAAUGGGCGAAAGCCUGAUGCAGCUAUGCCGCGUGUAUGAAGAAGGCCUUAGGGUUGUAAAGUACUUUCAUCGGGGAGGAAAAACAAAACUAAUAAUUUUAUUUCUUGACGUUACCCGAAAAAGAAGCACCGGCUAACUCCGUGCCAGCAGCCGCGGUAAUACGGAGGGUGCUAGCGUUAAUCAGAAUUACUGGGCGUAAAGGGCACGUAGGUGGUUUUUUUAAGUCAGAUGUGAAAUCCCUGGGGCUUAACCUGGAACUGCAUUUUUGAAACUGAAAUACUAGAGUAUCGUAGAGGGAGGUAGAAUUCUAGGUGUAGCGGUGAAAUGCGUAGAUAUCUGGAGGAAUACCUGUGGCGAAAGCGGCCUCCUAAACGAAUACUGACACUGAGGGUGCGAAAGCGUGGGGAGCAAACAGGGAUUAGAUACC